GACGUAGGGGGCGAGCGUUGUCCGGAUUCAUUGGGCGUAAAGCGCGCGUAGGCGGCUGCGCAAGUCGGUUGUGAAAUUCCGGGGCUCAACCCCGGAACUGCGUCCGAUACUGCGUGGCUAGAGGUAGGUAGGGGAGAUCGGAAUUCCUGGUGUAGCGGUGAAAUGCGCAGAUAUCAGGAGGAACACCGGUGGCGAAGGCGGAUCUCUGGGCCGAUACUGACGCUGAGGAGCGAAAGCGUGGGGAGCGAACAGG
rnacentral:rRNA from 1 species